AUGUCCAAUGUGCCAUUCAUCAAAAGAGCGUUGAGGGGGCUAUGUGGCAAGAUCAGCCGUGAGCAAGCAGACGAUGAUGUCAGGAAGACAAUGGAUGUUUUUGCCGAGUUGGGAGCAAAAGAUACUGGUCUGUACUACAGAGUGCAGUCGGAUGAGGAUAGCCGCAUACGGAAUUUGUUAUGGUCAACCGGAUCAAGCAGGGCCCAGUACCACUUCUUUGGAGAUGCGAUAACAUUUGAUACAACAUACCGUACCGACCUCUUUGACAUGCCAUUUGGCCUGUUUGUGGGAGUCAACAGACACUUCUAG
rnacentral:rRNA from 1 species